GAUGAUGGAAUAGAUCAUGGUCCGCAACUCACGGAAAAAACGGAGCACCCGGAUGAUCCUGACGACCAGCACGACGCGCAAGAUGCGGAGGGGCCGCACCGCGUUGAUGCUAACAGAGCUGGUAUUGUCGAAAGUAAGCCCGAGGAUGGAGACAAUGAAAUCCACCAAAGAGAGCA
rnacentral:snRNA from 13 species